GUGAUUUUUUGUCAGGAUGAAUCUUUUAAAUACACAUAAAGUAGUCAUCAUUGUAAUAUUAAAAAAUAGAUCAUAAUACAGAAAUAUUCCUUCUACUUACUAUAGGAAAUACCUAGGGAGUAACAGCAAUAUUUACUUGCCAAAUAGCUGUAAAGAUUUUAAUAGCAACUUCUUUCGUUUUUCUACUGCAGGAUAAAUAAAACUCAAGUUUGUCGCAUAUUCUCAUCCCUUUGCAGAGGGAUCAGUGUAAAUAACCUUCCACUACUUGCUGUACUGAGGUGGUUUAAGGUCUCAUCAAUUCCUAUUCAAGUCAGGGAAAAGAUUCCUAUUGACUAGAAUAGGAAUUGGAUCAGGCCCUAGGAGCUGUGUUGAAACUCACUAGCUUCAAUUCACAGUUGUUUCAUAUGAAAACCUUUCCGUCAGUUUUACUUUCUGUGGGUUUGCACCUCCUGUGCCUAAAAACUCAAUGCAAAGUUCAGUUGAGAUUACUAACUUUCAACUGGCUUCUCAUGAAAAUCAUGUAGAUCUGUGAAUCUCACACCCUUUUGGUAUGAAACCAAAAAUCUGCUCAAGAGUCACAAAUGUUUUGACAAAUCUAAGCUAAGUUUUGAGCUUCUAUCUAAACCCAGUAAGAACAUGGUUUUACUUGGCUUGUGGUCUUGUUACAAACAUGUUGCACAGCUCUUGCAUAGUAUCUUGCAUCGAUGUUGCCUGGUAUCUUGCACAGUUGCAAGAUACUAUCCAACAUUAAGACUAGAUGUUGCAUAGUAUUAGUAUCCCAAGAUACUAUGUAGGCUAGAGAUAUGGCUAUGCCGCAUGUCAAUCCAGCUGUUGUGCUUGCAUGCAUGUGCACAGCAGCUGAUUUUUACAAGUUGGAUGUGAGAAUAUCUAUAAGAGGGACUGAAUUCCAUGGGUGACUACUGUGCAGUAACAAUAUUGAUGAGAUGCAGCAGUAUUGAACGAUCUGAUUCUUCAGUCUGCUUGCCUACUUUCACAUAAUUGGUGACAACUUCCCAUUUUUGGAAGCUUUCAUGCUUCUGUUCUUUUUUUCCCUUCCCCGAAUUGUGUCUAAUAUUUGGAGAUGCCCCUUCCCUCACACAUGGAAAAAAUCUCUAAGAAAAAUAUGGACUAAGGACAGAGUUACUGAAAUGGUGGCCCAUGUUCCUGUAUUGUCCUCUGUAAUACAGAAACCUGGUGUUCCCACUAUGCUUUACCUUUAUCGAUUUUAAAACUAAUGUACCUUCUUUUCCAGCUUUCUUCAACCAGUGAUUCAUUGAAACGACAAACUCAGGCUUGUUACUCUGCUGGGAAGUUGCCUGUUUUAAUAAAACAUAGCAAAGUGCUCUUUAGCUCUGAUUACUGUGCUCAUACUCCCCACGCUGAUGUUCUGAUGUUACUGGCCUGAUGUGACCAGUAACGCUAAAAGGGUCUCAUUUUGUGGCUGGUAGACCAUAGUUUUGAAGGUGGCCAAGAUAUUCUGGUGCAAUUUGGGAGACCCACAUUUUAACGGCAAAUCUUGACUUCAGUGUAGGCCUAAGAGGAAAGGCCAUUUCACUUUUCCACAGCCCAUCAGCUGAGAGAUUGAAGUACUGGCAGUGAUUGCAUCCUGGUCAAAAAACAACUUUCUGCCCUUCAUUCAUGUGGAAAACACAAUCCAAGUGAACAGAAGACGGCUUCAAAGAACCCUGAUCAGAAGGCAAAACAGAAUAAAGAGGUGUCUCUUCUGAACCGCAAAGGUUCUUAACGCCAUGCCCAUCAACACAAGAACAAGAGCCCAAUGGUCCAUCUAGUUGGGUAUCCUGUCUCUGACAGUGCCGAGUACAAGCUGCUUUGGCGGAAGAAACCUUAGGGAAUUAAGCACCAAAACAGGAGCAGGAUCGCAGGAGACAAUUCUUAACUCUCUGAGACUGUCUGCAGCUAAGGAUCCCGAGUGGAAGAAGGAAUCUUAUCUGUGGCUCAUCAGCCAGGCACAGCAGUAGUACCCAGAUGCCCCAACUCAGAUCACAGCCCCAUUGCACAAAAAGAUCAGGAAGCCUGCAACAUGCUCCAUGUAUAUUCUGAGCUGCAAACUGGACUGAUAGAGCGUUAUUUGAGAAAUGGUAUGUGAC